CUGUUUUAUAAUUUCAUUUCCAAAAUUACCCCUCCACAUCCAUGUCAGCAGCCAUCUCCCUCUCCGUGUCACGGUUGUGCUUUUAAUAAAUAAACACAAAAAUCUUAAACAAAUUAGCAAAACCCACGCAACACCCGACUCUGAAAUUUGGGGAAACCAGGUUAGGGCAAAUGGAGAGAAAGUCACAGAGAGUCCUUAGCUUCUUUCUCUUCUCUCUUUUCUCUCUGUUGUGUGAAUUUCUCAGUGAAAAAUCGAAUAAUCGAUUCAUGCGUGUCUUCGUACUAUUGAUCCGCAAAUUUCUUCAGAUAAAGCCCACGCAACACCCGACUCUAAAAUUUGGGGAACCCAGGUUAGGGCAAAAGGAGAGAAAGUCACUUCGCUCUCUUCUCUCUCUUUUCUUUCUGUUGUGUGAAUUUCUCAGUGAAAAAUCGAAAGGUUGUAAGCUGUAAUCGAUUCACGCGUGUAGCCGUACUAUUGAUCCGCAAAUUUCUUCAGAUAAAGUGAUUUCAUCUCCAGGUUCUCGCAUUCGUUUAGAGAUUUCCACUCUGUUAUGAGCUCUCUUACACUAUUCAAGGACAUUUCCCAACGCAUCCUCAUAUCAAGGUUCGCAAUGCCAAGCAUUUCAAUUUUCGAGUUCAUUCCAAUCAGCUUCUUUAGUUUCCAAAGUGAGGUUCCUCUUUCCAGCUAUCCUGAUGUGGAUUUUCACAUCAACAAAAUAAUGGCUGCAACAAAAAUGUGGUUCUCAAAGCACAAUGAAAAUUACACCUUUCUUCCAUGAGGGGGGGAAAGCAUUGCUGUGUGGCUUCUUGUUGCAACUCUUUCUGACUCUGACACUCAGCAUGACAAUCAAAUGAAUGAUUGCCAAACAAAUCCAGUUGGAUGGUGGAGACCAGCUCUCCUGGUGAAAAAUAUGGUCAUCCUGGGAAGUGCAUUAGAUCCAAGGUGCUUUCUAGUGUUUUAAAACAGUAUCUAAAUACAACAUAUACUGUAUCUCAUGUAAUGAUUCUGCUUUAUGUCUUUUUAAAGCAUUGGGAUGAAGGCUUCCUAGUUCUAAACAUUGAGGGGCACUUAAAUGUUCCAUAGAAAAGAAGUGGUUCCAUUGUGUUUUUGCAUGACCUUCUGAAUGUUUUAAUAGCAUUUGUAAUAAAAUUGUUUCAUGGCAUGCAUAGGAUGAUAUUUAAGAUUUCAGGAAUGAUGUGAGUCCAGGUUUUUGGAAACAUAAAUCAUUAUUGUGCCACUUUGGUCUUGUUAUGGGUUUCACCUUAAAGGUGGAUUUGAUUUCCAAGGAACAUUUAAGUGGCCCCCACUUAAUAGAUUAUUAUUCAUUACUUUAAAUCCUUUUAGUACAAGGAGAUGGGUUAAUAAGACAAGUACUAGUGAAUGUUCUUUUCUGGGAAACUAGUAUGAGGAAUAUACUUCUGGAACAUUAAGCAUGAACCUAAAACGUAUCAUGCACUUGAAGCUCUGAUGGACAAUAACUAGUGUUGAAACUAUUAUUUCAACUGAAGUCUGGCCAGGAAUCCACAACUUAUUUUCUUAUUUUAAAAGGCUGAUUGACUGAUGUAGUCAGUAUUUAAAUCAUCUCACUGUGCAGGGCAGCUGCUAUUGGUGCUUCAGCUAGUCAUGGGAUCAUUGGUACACAUGAAGGACUUGUGUACAUGUGGGAAUUGUCUACCGGUACUAAGCUUGGCAGUUUACACUAUUUCAAAGUUGAUUCAGAUUGAAGAAGAGCUUGGGGAAAUAGCGGUUUAUGCUGGCGAAGAGUGGAGGCAGUUGUGAUCAAUCUUUCCAGAUGUUAGUGGAGUUGUUCAAAGUGUCUCUCCUACAAUGAGCAUACGAAGGAAGAGUAACAAUGAGAUUGUUCCUAAGCGUGAUAUUACUAUUGCGGACAAGACGAAGAAGAGUGUUGUGGUCUCUUUGUGGAAUGAUCAUGCUACUAAUGUAGGGUAGGAAUUGUUGGAUAAUGCUGAUAAAUUUCCAAUUAUUGCAAUUAAAUCUCUCAAAGUUGGAGACUUCCAAGGUAAUUCCCCUUGUUUUCUUGAGUUUGGUAUUAUUAUGGCAAUUAAGCACAUUCUCAAAAACUUGAGAAUGAUAAGAAGUCCUCUUUGUAAUGUUCUCUUCAUAUCUUGUUUUAGGAUUACAUGAAAAGACAAUAUUUAAUUUGGAGUAAAAUGAUGACUAUGAUAGGACAUGGUUACAACUCUGUAACCAAAACUUUUGAUUGGCCAACUGAAAAAUGGGAAGAAUAUCUAUAGGUAGUUUUCUUAUGGAUUUGAGUGAAUUUUAAAAAUAAUUGUCUUAUAUAUGUAUGCAUGACUAAUUUGUUGUUUAUCUUGUAAAAUAGAAAUAUCUAGAAGCUAAACAAUUUUGUUUUAAACCAUUAGCAAAUGUGGAAGAAUUAGAGGUAUUGUUUGGAGGAUUGCUAGCUACUGGGUCUAAAAAUUGGAGCUUUGGAGGAGUGAUAGCUUCUGGGGCUGAGGAAUCAUCAACACAUUCUACAUCUAUGCCUAGCGAAACUUCAACUAAUUUAGAAGAAGAUGAGAAUUUGCCAAAAAAUACUAAUGAUGAAGCAGAAGGUUUUAAGAAAAAAUAGAAGAAAUGAAAGAAAUAGCAAACUCAAGAAGAAAUGAAUAGAAUAAUGAAUGUGUUGGAGAAUUUUGAAGGAUCCUCAGUCAAAUAAUGCAUGAAGAUUUUGAAGAGGCACUUGACUUAUGAGGAUCCAUUAUACUAUGUAGCAAUUAAUGCGUUUUGCAAGAAGAAAGAGUAUAGAGAGGUGUGGGUGGAGAUGGAAAGUGACAAAGAGCGAAUGGAAUGGAUUCAAAGCUUGCGAAAAUAACUUUUUAAAUAUUUGUUUUAGAUUUGUGGAAUGCAUAUGGUAUAUGGCUUAUUUGAUGAUUGUAAUUU